rnacentral:rRNA from 1 species
UGCAAGUCGAACGAACUUAACCAUAAGUUUACUUUUGGAGCGGUUAGUGGCGGACUGGUGAGUAACACGUAAGCAACCUGCCUAUCAGAGGGGAACAACAGUUAGAAAUGACUGCUAAUACCGCAUAUGCCAUGAAUAUCACAUGAUAUAAAUGGGAAAGGAGCAAUCCGCUGAUAGAUGGGCUUGCGUCUGAUUAGAUAGUUGGUGGGGUAACGGCCUACCAAGUCGACGAUCAGUAGCCGGACUGAGAGGUUGAACGGCCACAUUGGGACUGAGAUACGGCCCAGACUCCUACGGGAGGCAGCAGUCGGGAAUAUUGCGCAAUGGAGGAAACUCUGACGCAGUGACGCCGCGUGCAGGAAGAAGGUUUUCGGAUUGUAAACUGCUUUAGACAGGGAAGAAAAAGGACAGUACCUGUAGAAUAAGCUCCGGCUAACUACGUGCCAGCAGCCGCGGUAAUACGUAGGGAGCAAGCGUUAUCCGGAUUUAUUGGGUGUAAAGGGUGCGUAGACGGGAAUACAAGUUAGUUGUGAAAUCCCUCGGCUUAACUGAGGAACUGCAACUAAAACUAUAUUUCUUGAGUGCUGGAGAGGAAAGUGGAAUUCCUAGUGUAGCGGUGAAAUGCGUAGAUAUUAGGAGGAACACCAGUGGCGAAGGCGACUUUCUGGACAGUAACUGACGUUGAGGCACGAAAGUGUGGGGAGCAAACAGGAUUAGAUACCCUGGUAGUCCACACCGUAAACGAUGGAUACUAGGUGUAGGGGAUGAAUAAUCUUCUGUGCCGUCGCAAACGCAGUAAGUAUCCCACCUGGGG